rnacentral:rRNA from 1 species
CCUACGGGCGGCAGCAGUGAGGAAUAUUGGUCAAUGGACGAGAGUCUGAACCAGCCAAGUAGCGUGAAGGAUGACUGCCCUAUGGGUUGUAAACUUCUUUUAUAUGGGAAUAAACUGUUCCACGUGUGGGAUUUUGUAUGUACCAUAUGAAUAAGGAUCGGCUAACUCCGUGCCAGCAGCCGCGGUAAUACGGAGGGUCCGAGCGUUAUCCGGAUUUAUUGGGUUUAAAGGGAGCGUAGGUGGAUUGUUAAGUCAGUUGUGAAAGUUUGCGGCUCAACCGUAAAAUUGCAGUUGAAACUGGCAGUCUUGAGUACAGUAGAGGUGGGCGGAAUUCGUGGUGUAGCGGUGAAAUGCUUAGAUAUCACGAAGAACUCCGAUUGCGAAGGCAGUUCACUGGACUGCAACUGACACUGAGGCUCGAAAGUGUGGGUAUCAAACAGGAUUAGAUACCCCAGUAGUC